rnacentral:rRNA from 1 species
CCUACGGGGGGCUGCAGUGGGGGAUAUUGCACAAUGGAGGAAACUAUGAUGCGGCAACGCCGCGUGAGGGAAGAAGGUCUUCGGAUUGUAAACCUCUGUCCUCAGGGACGAUAAUGACGGUACCUAAGGAGGAUGAUCCGGCUAACUACGUGCCAGCAGCCGCGGUAGUACGGAGGGAGCAAGCGUUGUUCGGAUUUAAUGGGUGUAAAGGGUGCGUAGGCGGCCCAGUAAGUCAGGUGUGAAAACAAUGAGCUUAACUCAUAGAUUGCACUUGAAACUGUCGGGCUUGAGUGAAGUAGAGGCAGGCGGAAUUCCCUGUGUAGCGGUGAAAUGCGUAGAGAUCGGGAAGAACACCAGUGGAGAAGGCGGCCUGCUGGGCUUUAACUGACGCUGAGGCACGAAAGCGUGGGUAGCAAACAUGAUUAGAUACCCCUGUAGUC